CCGCUCGCUCGGGCUCAGCGCAGACCCGCCCGGGCGCGCUCUUCCCGCCGGCUCCCGGCGUCCCGCCGCCCAGCCGGGAACUGGCCGGCGAUCCCCGCCACCCUUAAGGGUGCUGCCGACACCCAGCGCGGAGGCUAGCCGGCGGAGGUCUCUACGGGAGGCUAGACCGCUGGCGCGCGGCUCUCCUACUCGCAGGUCUUCCCUUGAUACAGUGGAUGGUGACUCUGCUCUUCUGCCCAAGAGUGGUUCAAAAUGGAAAGCACAGCUGAUCCUGCUGAAGCUACAGUAAAGUAAAAGCCGUUCAUCCGAUUGUUCGUCGUUCAUUCAAGAAGUUAUCACGUAUACAAAGGCACCAGGCAGAAAUGUCGGAGAAUACUAGAAGGACUCACUCUCUUGCUGCUUCAGGUACUUUACCGUCUAAUUCCCGAGACAGACUCUGAGAUAUAAUUGAUGACAAUGCAGGUCAUCACUAAUUGUUAAUACCAGACAGAAUAAAACAACAGGGCGUGAGAUUCUCCA
rnacentral:lncRNA from 1 species